rnacentral:lncRNA from 1 species
GUUAGCAUUUACUUCUCCGGGGCACCCACAUGGCAGACCUCCUACAGGGCACUUAAGGACAAUAAGAGAGUCUCUAAAUAGUUGUUUCCUCCAGAGAUAUAUUCAUGGUUCUUCCUGGUCCUGGUCUCCCUUUCUCCCCCUGGAAGUUGCUGAAUGUAGACCACAGCCUGCACAGGCCAGGGAGCCCAGUGGACACAGCAGAGGCUCAGGCUGGCCAAACUUAUUCUCAAGACAAAGACGAUGAAGUAAAGCAGAUUCUGGAAUCAGCCUGCCUGCCUAUGAGUCACACAAGUUGUGUGACUUUGGAAAACAGAGGCCUAAAGGAGUUAGGCAAGUUACUUAAUCCCUGUAAAAAACAACAUGCCUGUAAAACAUAGAAGGUGGUAUUAAUGCCUUCCAGAGGUCUAUCAGUUCUAAAAUGUGUAAUCUCUGAGUUCAAGACGGCUCAGGAGUCACUGUUGGACUGUUGGAGAAUCCUAAGCCACUCCGGCAAUGAGCACAGAGGCCUAUCUAGGAUUCACCCGUGCUCCCAGCCCUGGUACAUCUGGGUCUAUUAGCAUGGGUCUUUCACCACCUGAGGAUACAUCCAGGCCAGCUGGAGAAGCAGCCUCCUGCUAAAUGGCUCUGCUCUUGCAGCGGGCUACAGCGGGAGAUCCAUAUCAAUGGCUGCCUGCCUGCACUUCUGGAGCCUUCCUCAUCAUGUGAGGAUUAGAAAGGACGGACAUCUAUGGCUUCUGUCAGAGCAGCCGGCAGUGGGUGAACAGACACAGUCUACUGUGUGGAUUCCUGGUAAAGGCAGGGUAUCCAUGGGCCUGGGUUGACUGUCAUAAAAGGGAGCUGAAGAAUAGUCGCCGAGUUGUUGCGGGAAGUCAGGGACCCCAAACGGAGGGACCAGCUGAAACCAUGGCGGAAGAACAUAAAUUGUGAAGAUUUCAUGGACAUUUAUUAGAUCCCCA